CCCGACGAAAACAUGAUGAAGAGCGGGUGGCUGAAGGGCAGCUGCUCGAACUCCAGCUGUGGGGCUUGCUCGCCCCUCCCGGCGGCAAGAAAAUCGUCCAGAAACACGCUGGGGGCAAAACACACAGACGCAAACGGGAAGGGGGAGAACCAGUUACACUCAGCCCGCAGCGACUUGCUAAGAAUAAUUACUGUGAAACACAAAUGCACACACUCUAAAGCAGUCCUUGAGGACAAGCACGUCUCCUGGGGGCGGCAUGGAGGUUUACAAAGGGCAUCCAGAAUGAUUCCACUCUGAGCGGUAAACAAACAAAGCCUUCUGCUCCACAGUGUCCGGGAAAUUAUUCGCUGUGGAACUUUCCAGCCAAUGAAAGCCCCACUCCUCCUCCACCUCCCAUCCCAAUCCCACUUACACAAAGCGCCCAAUCUAAUCGGAUACCGCGCACAAAGAAAAGCCUUUUCUUCCGAACGGUCUAUAAAUCACAGUAAAUAGCAA